rnacentral:misc_RNA from 1 species
UCUCCGUUGGUGAACCAGCGGAGGGAUCAUUACCGAGUGCAAACUCAUAACCCUUUGUGAACCUAUAUCUGUUGCUUCGGCGGCUCGCUCUCGGGCGAGCCCGCCGGUAAUAUCAGUAUCUCUGUUUGAACCCGACGAUACUUCUGAGUGUUCCUAGCGAACAGUUAAAACUUUUAACAACGGAUCUCUUGGCUCUA